GGCACUGACACAAGUCAUGAUUGAAUCUAUACCCACCUGUCACUCUCUACCUUCUCUCUCUGUAUCUUUAUAUAUGGAUUAGUCCCAUCCUUUCACUCUACUGCUAAAAGCAAAAGGCUGUGACGCCUCUGGCUGCAAAAACUUAGCCAUUUUCUACCCUUCUUUUCCACUUUGCUUUUUCGGAAUCCUAUUACACUAUAAAAUUUUUAAUAUAUCACACCAAAAAACCCUGGGGAAAAGGGAUCCGGGAAAUUUUGUUGCAGAGGAAGAGAUGGGCGAGAAAGAGGAUGGAUUGGGUUUGGGGUUGAGUCUCAGCUUGGGUGCCGCAACUCAACAGAUUCAGCCUUCGUUGAAGCUACAUCUCAUGCCAUUUCCUUCUGAGUUGGUGCAAAAUAAUCACCAGAGGAUCUCCCUGAAUGACCUCUUUCAAUCAUCUGAUAGGAACUCUGAUGCGAGGACGUUUCAACGAGGGAUUGACAUGAAUCGGAUACCAUCAGUGGCCGAUUGCGACGACGAAACCGGCGUUUCUUCUCCCAACAGCACGGUUUCAAGCAUAAGUGGAAAGAGAAGUGAGAGGGAACAGAUUGGAGAGGAAACUGAAGCGGAGAGAGCCUCGUGCUCUCGUGAUGGCAGCGAUGAUGAAGAUGGCGGUGCCGGCGGAGACGCUUCCAGAAAAAAGCUGAGGCUUUCAAAGGAACAGUCCUUAGUUCUCGAAGAAACCUUCAAGGAGCACAAUACUCUGAAUCCUAAGCAAAAACUGGACUUGGGGAAGCAGUUGAAUCUCAGGCCUAGACAGGUGGAAGUGUGGUUUCAGAACAGGAGGGCGAGGACUAAGCUGAAACAAACUGAAGUUGACUGCGAGUACCUAAAGAGGUGCUGUGAAAAUCUAACACAAGAGAACAGGAGGUUGCAGAAGGACGUUCAGGAGCUUAGAGCAUUGAAACUAUCCCCCCAGUUCUACAUGCCCACCACCCUCACCAUGUGCCCUUCAUGUGAGCGUGUUGCAGUCUCAUCAUCAUCCUCAUCUUCAGCUACCACAGCUGCUCCAACUGCCACAUGCAGCCACACGGGGAAUCCCCAGCCCCAACGACCCGUGCCCAUUAAGCCUUGGGCAGCAUUGCCUAUCCACCAUCGACCUUUUGAUACGCCUGCUUCGAGGUCAUAAUUAUGGCAAAGGGUAUAGAUUUUAGGAUACGGUACUCAAAAGUCUCCAACUAUAUGAAGAUAAAAAUCAAAAGGGAGGUGGUUAGGAUGCGAUUUUUUGUUUAAAGAGUCUUG
rnacentral:misc_RNA from 1 species